AGAACGAACGCUGGCGGCAGGCCUCAAACAUGCAAGUCUAGGGGGUGUAGCAAUACAUCACCGGCGGACGGGUGCGUAACACGUGGGAAUAUACCUUUUGGUUCGGAACAACUGAGGGAAACUUCAGCUAAUACCGAAUGUGUCCUAGCGGAGAAAGAUUUAUCGCCAAAGGAUUAGCCCGCGUCCGAUUAGCUAGUUGGUGAGGUAAUGGCUCACCAAGGCUCCGAUCGGUAGCUGUUCUGAGAGGAAGAUCAGCCACACUGGGACUGAGACACGGCCCAGACUCCUACGGGAGGCAGCAGUUGGGAAUCUUGGACAAUGGGGGAAACCCUGAUCCAGCCAUGCCGCGUGAGUGAUGAAGGCCUUCGGGUUGUAAAACUCUUUCGACGGGGACGAUAAUGACGGUACUGUAGAAGAGCUCCGGCUAACUUCGUGCCAGCAGCCGC
rnacentral:rRNA from 1 species